UACGGGGGGGGCAAGCGUUGUUCGGAAUUACUGGGCGUAAAGGGCUCGUAGGCGGCCAACUAAGUCAUACGUGAAAUCCCUCGGCUUAACCGGGGAACUGCGUCUGAUACUGGAUGGCUUGAGUUCGGGAGAGGGAUGCGGAAUUCCAGGUGUAGCGGUGAAAUGCGUAGAUAUCAGGAGGAAUACCGAUGGCGAAGGCAGGUCUCUGGGCUGACACUGACGCUCAUGCACGAAAGCGUGGGGAGCAAACAGG
rnacentral:rRNA from 1 species